AGCGGCGGACGGGUGAGUAACGCGUGGGUAACCUGCCUUACACAGGGGGAUAACAGUUAGAAAUGACUGCUAAUACCGCAUAAGACCACAGUACUGCAUGGUACAGUGGUAAAAACUGAGGUGGUGUAAGAUGGACCCGCGUCUGAUUAGGUAGUUGGUGGGGUAACGGCCCACCAAGCCGACGAUCAGUAGCCGGCCUGAGAGGGUGGACGGCCACAUUGGGACUGAGACACGGCCCAGACUCCUACGGAAGGCAGCAG
rnacentral:rRNA from 1 species